rnacentral:lncRNA from 13 species
AUUGAGUGGCAAUAUGUUGAAGAAGAUUCAAAGGGAGACCAAGGGCGAGUUCUGACUACUCAGCAAAAUAUGAAAAAUUAAAACGAUUGAAUUGAUUUUUGUGUGUGUGUGUGUUUUCCUAUAAAUUGUCUACAAUAUAUUCACUAUGAACAAAUCAUUUCUAUAAGGGGGUGGGAGGGGAUUCCCCCCAAACCCCAGCGUUACAUGACCUACAGUGCCUUGCGAAAGUAUUCGGCCCCCUUGAACUUUGCGACCUUUUGCCACAUUUCAGGCUUCAAACAUAAAGAUAUAAAACUGUAUUUUUUUGUUAAGAAUCAACAACAAGUGGGACACCAUCAUGAAGUGGAACGACAUUUAUUGGAUAUUUCAAACUCUUUUAACAAAUCAAAAACUGAAAAAUUGGGCGUGCAAAAUUAUUCAGCCCCCUUAAGUUAAUACUUUGUAGCGCCACCUUUUGCUGCGAUUACAGCUGUAAGUCGCUUGGGGUAUGUCUCUAUCAGUUUUGCACAUCGAGAGACUGAAAUUGUUUCCCAUUCCUCCUUGCAAAACAGCUCGAGCUCAGUGAGGUUGGAUGGAGAGCAUUUGUGAACAGCAGUUUUCAGUUCUUUCCACAGAUUCUCGAUUGGAUUCAGGUCUGGACUUUGACUUGGCCAUUCUAACACCUGGAUAUGUUUAUUUUUGAACCAUUCCAUUGUAGAUUUUGCUUUAUGUUUUGGAUCAUUGUCUUGUUGGAAGACAAAUCUCCGUCCCAGUCUCAGGUCUUUUGCAGACUCCNNNNNNNNNNGGCCGUCUCUAGCUAUCUCUAUAAAGGUAAGAGUCCUUUCCUCUCCACCCGGCCGUCUCUAGCUAUCUCUAACGGUAAGAGUCCUUUCCUCUCCACCCUGCCGUCUCCUCCAGCUAUCUCUAUAAUAGCUCUGCUUUGUCUUUUUAAAAUGGCAGCUGGAACCCACAGGCUACCCAACAUUCCAAAGCUCCAAACUGAUUGGCUCUUCAUUAAAAUAUUUUACUAUAUGCAUCAUCACAGUUUGGGAACAAUCACUGUGGUAGAUUUACUUUGUGUUUCAAUGGUGAGCCAGAGGAGAUUUCAUCAUAUGUUCAUGUCCAAAUUACAUCAUUUGAGAAUAAGAUGCAAAAUUGAUCUGAAGACAAAGUCCUUUCCAUUUUGAGCAAUCACUACAUUCCCUGUGUAGGUAGCAGACCGGUGCUGAACACAUUCCCUGUGUAGGUAGCAGACCGGUGCUGAACACAUUCCCUGUGUAGGUAGCAGACCGGUGCUGAACACAUUCCCUGCUUAGGUAGNNNNNNNNNNAACUCACAUGUUGCAGCCCUGAAGGGUAUGGGAUUAACAUGAGGACUAUGAUUUACCUCACUCUGAGGAUACUGUGUGUAUAUGUGUUGGUGCAUUCAUGUGUGUGUGUGUC